rnacentral:lncRNA from 1 species
GGGUGGCGCGCGGCAGCAGGGUUGGGCUCUCGCCGUGAGUCGACGAAGGGAGCGCGGGCGCGCGCCCGCGUCCGCGCACUGAGAGUCGCCUCGGCCGCUCGCUUUCUCGACUCCCGCCUCGCGCCUCGAUCCUGUUCCGCCUCCCUCGGCCCUCCUGCCCGCCCCCACUCGUCGGCCCUCAGGUACCUAAAAUGUCUCAUUAUUCAUCAAUUAAUGAAAAACAAAUGAAAAUUUGAGAGAGAUAUUCUGAAGAAUAAAAGGAUCAAGUUGGGUCAUUUCUAAAAUCUCAGAGACCUAAUAGGAUGGGGUCUUAGAGAAACAUCUUUUGAGCCACAGACUUCUUUGUUACCAGAAGGAAAAUGAAAGAAGAAAUUUAAAUACCACUUGAAGAGAGCUGAUCGCCACCAACUGGCCUCUGGGUGGAUUUGGCCAAUGGAAGCACCUGUAGAGGGAAGAGAGUGAGGUUAGGAUAUUUCUUCCUGCUGUCUCCGUGCUUCCCUGCAGAGAGUGUGAAGAAAUGACCCUGAAAAGCCUCUGGCAGAGGAUUCUUCUUUCAGGAUGGUGUCGCCUCCUCAGCAGCCCAUCCUCCUCCCCUGGACUCAAGCUCUCAUUCCAGUAACACUCCUUCCUCCUUCUCCAUCUUCAGGGGGAGGUUUGCCAGUCGGUGGGUUCUAAGCAUAUCUCGCUGAUUCCCCCCAACCCUGCCGACACCUCUGUAGGUCGUCCCUUCAUUAAAAUCUCUCCAUUUGAACUAUCUGAGUUUAAUUCCAUUUCCUCCUGGUAUCUCAGUGAUACACGGUAUCAGUACAAAAAUCUCGCUUCACCUUCAGAACCAACAGAUUUGAGACAUUUUAUCCUCUGUGGAACCAUUAGUUAUUUUGUCAUUGGUUGUAUCAGAAAAAAAAAUCAGGAAUGCAAAUCCUUCUUUAUUACAGAUUCAGAUUUGCAUAUUACCAAUGUUAUAUAUUUUAAACAAAACUAUUCAUCAUAAGUUUUAAAAAUUAACUACUGGAGUAGUUAAUGAAUCUGAAUGUAAUUAUGUAGCUUUCAUAAUAUUAAAGUAAAAAUACUAAAAGAAGUAUUUCUUAAAGAAGCAAAUGCUCAAUCUCCAAGUAAAUUUUAUUCUAUGCUCUUCCGGUAUAAGAAUAUGUUAAUAUCUUGAAAAAUAUCAUAUUAUUUUGUGAACUCAUAAAGCUAUUUUGAGUUUUUGUAAAAUGAAAACCUUACCAAAAUGUAUUUUAUUGUUGGAAAGCUUGACCGUUACUGCUGUUUAAUUUUUUGAGCUUGUAAACUUUAUUUGUGCAUGUUUUCAACAAAGAAGGAUUUUAUUGUUAUUACAUAAAACAGGUGAUUUCUAGAUUUUAAAAUCACAAAUUGAAAGCAAGGCACAAUAAUAUAUAUUUCAAGAUAUAGGUACUUAGGAGGCAUCCUUUUAGUCAUCUGUUCAAUGUAGCCAUCUAUUUUACACCUACUGUCUACUAUUGUUUGAGGUCCUUGCCAAAGUAUUGCAGGCUAGUUAGGAAACAUAAAACAAUUAGAAAGUAAUCUAUGACAAGUAAGCUAUCUAUAAAUGGCAAUGAAGGGUAGAACAAAUUCAAUGAAAAUAUCUAUUUAAUCCUAGUGUUUACUGGUCUAGAAGAAUAGGCUGAGUAAAUUAGUAUUUCUCUGGCUGUUGUGGUAACACAUUGCAUGCUAUAACAGUUUUAAGUAAUUACAGGUGCAUUGAAAUUUAUCUAUGGCUUUGUCAUCAUAUUCUAAAAUGUCAUGAGUACUUUUUUCUGACCUCAAUUACUAUGAAAUUGGUUUCCAAUAUUUAAUUAACCAAGAAUAUCAAGUCUAUAGGGUAUUAUUAAGGUGAGACUUCUGUAGCCUUUUCAAUAAAGACCAGAAUUUUGGAGUGCCUUGAACCUUAAUCAUUGAUCUUUAAUUCUUAUUAAGUCAACUGCCCACCUUUUAAAGACUGAGGCCCAGGAAGAGUAAGUUUCUCUGAGACAAUGCAUACAGUACAGUGCUUCUUGGGUAUUGGCUCUAAGACCAGAUGCAAAGAAAGGCUAAAAUCCCAUUUCAUUGUUCAUUAGGUGAGAACCCUUUGUUAAGCUGUGUAACCUCUGUGCAUAGUUUCCUCAUCAGCAAAGUCAGAAAAAGUAUGUACCUGAAGGACUGAUUGUAAGGCUGGGAUGAGAGAAUCCAUGUGAUCAGCCCUCACCAACAGGUGCUGCCCAGUUCAUGAGUGCUGCUGCUGUCCUGCCCAAGUACCCAGCUUGCAGAGUGCCAGAGUUAGAGUCCCAGGGGUGUUCUCCACAGCUGCAUGCUUGAUCCAGGCCUAUCAGAUAUAUUCCAUUGAAAGUCCUCAUUCUCAAAUUUAAAACAAAGACUUUUUGUGUACCUCAAUAGCAAUGCACACACAGUUGGCUUCACAAACAUAUUGUACAUUUCUUUUUUUCAUAUUUAUUCAACAAAUGUAUAUUGACUACCCACCGUGUGACAGGUGUUAUUUGUUGACGGAACCAGGCAUCAUCAGCAAACAAAACUGACAAAGCUUCCUGCCCUCUGUGGAAGGCAUCUGAGGAAGAGACUGGAUUUUGUAGCAACAUGUUAUUCUCAUUAUAAACUUUAUCAUUGGAAUACUAAAGCCAAAUCAUCCCCCAUCUCCUUGAUCAGGAUACCCACUUAAUCUAGGCAGCUACACAAUUGUGAGAGCCUUUGUUUUUUUCUGCUGAAACAUCCUUAAAAAGAUACCUCACAACCCAAGAUUUGGCUUUUCUUAAAUACGAUUUUUAAUUUUUUUCAUUUCUAUCUAGAGAUUUAAUUGGAAAUGGAAAAUCAUCAAUUUUCCAAUUAAAUGUCUGUUCCAAUCAACAUUAUACCUUUUAGGUUGUCAUUGUCAUUUUUAAGUUUAAGCAACUUUAAGGAUUUUGAAUCUGGCUGCCUGUAAAUUAAAGGUGAAAGUAAUCA